UACGGGGGGGCAAGCGUUGUUCGGAAUUACUGGGCGUAAAGGGCUCGUAGGUGGCCAACUAAGUCAGACGUGAAAUCCCUCGGCUUAACCGGGGAACUGCGUCUGAUACUGGAUGGCUUGAGGUUGGGAGAGGGAUGCGGAAUUCCAGGUGUAGCGGUGAAAUGCGUAGAUAUCUGGAGGAACACCGGUGGCGAAGGCGGCAUCCUGGACCAAUUCUGACGCUGAGGAGCGAAAGCCAGGGGAGCAAACAGG
rnacentral:rRNA from 1 species